AACGAACGCUGGCGGCAGGCUUAACACAUGCAAGUCGAGCGCCCCGCAAGGGGAGCGGCAGACGGGUGAGUAACGCGUGGGAAUCUACCCUGAUCUGCGGAAUAGCUCCGGGAAACUGGAAUUAAUACCGCAUAUGCCCUGAGGGGCAAAGGUUGAUCCGGAUGGGGAGGAGCCCGCGUUGGAUUAGCUAGUUGGUGGGGUAAAGGCCUACCAAGGCGACGAUCCAUAGCUGGUCUAAGAGGAUGAUCAGCCACAUUGGGACUGAGACACGGCCCAAACUCCUACGGGAGGCAGCAGUGGGGAAUAUUGGACAAUGGGCGCAAGCCUGAUCCAGCCAUGCCGCGUGAGUGAUGAAGGCCCUAGGGUUGUAAAGCUCUUUCACCGGGGACGAUAAUGACGGUACCCGGAGAAGAAGCCCCGGCUAACUUCGUGCCAGCAGCCGCCGUAAAAC
rnacentral:rRNA from 1 species